rnacentral:pre_miRNA from 1 species
UAUAUACUCCCUUCCUCCAACAAAAGACGUUUCAAGUUUGUCAAAAUUUAGAUAUAUCUAGACAUGACUGAGUGUAUAGAUACAUCUAAAUUUAAUAAAAGUUGAGACAUCAUUUGUUGAACGGAGGAAUAUAUA